UACGUGGGAGGCAAGCGUUAUUCGGAAUUAUUGGGCGUAAAGGGCGUGUAGGCGGCUUGGUAAGUCUUGUGUGAAAGCCCUCGGCUCAACCGAGGAAUUGCACGAGAAACUGCGUGGCUCGAGUCCGGGAGAGGAUAGUGGAAUUCCCAGUGUAGCGGUGAAAUGCGUAGAUAUUGGGAGGAACACCGGUGGCGAAGGCGGCUAUCUGGACCGGUACUGACGCUGAUACGCGAAAGCCAGGGGAGCAAACGGG
rnacentral:rRNA from 1 species